AUCAAACCAGAUAAAGAGCCAAACAUCAGUUCGUUUUCCACCGCGAGUGAGGUGUUGCAGCUCGCUGCCAUGUUGAGCCGCUGCUGGCUGAUGAAGACCCACUCACUAUCUGACACCACAUGAGCAUCCAGAGCCUCUGCCAGCUGUUCCCACCCCUCCCCUCAGUGCAACGGGCCUCUCAGUCCACAUUUAGAUACCAGGCUCUGACCCAGUUGUCCAACACCAGCUGGAAGAUUUCCUUGUUACUUAUUUUUUGGGCUUCCUCAUUUCUCUCCACUUCACCUCCAUCACCCCUUCCUCUGAGAUGGUGGCAGAACGUCUCUCCUCCCUCUGGACAGGUUGUUGUGGUCUGAUGUUCAGGGUUUAGCAGGUCUCUGUGGUCAAACGGGAAGUUCUGUCCCUCUUCCCAAGACAUGGAGCCUUUUGCAGAGGUUCCCCUAUUUGAGAUGGAUGAUGACGACGAUGACGACAUCCUCGCUAUGAACAGAGGUGUUUGUACAUCUGCAGCAAACCUUUUGGCCCUUCCUGCUAGCACAGACCCCAACACUUUCACCUACAUGAACUUCAUGAAGAGUCACACCUGCUACGAUGCCAUUCCCACCAGUUCCAAACUGGUCAUCUUUGACACGACGCUGCAGGUGAAGAAAGCCUUCUUUGCUCUGGUGGCUAACGGUGUAAGGGCAGCACCGCUGUGGAACACCAAGAUUCAGAGCUUUGUGGGAAUGCUGACCAUCACUGACUUCAUCAACAUUCUUCAUCGUUACUACAGGUCUCCUCUGGUUCAGAUCUACGAACUGGAAGAACACAAGAUAGAGACAUGGAGAGAGAUCUAUCUCCAGUACUCAGUAAACAGACUGAUCAGCAUCACACCUGAGUCCAGCCUGUUUGAUGCCAUCUACUCCCUGUUAAAGAAUAAGAUCCACCGGCUGCCCGUGAUCGACCCGGUGUCAGGAAACGUCCUUCACAUCCUCACUCACAAACGAAUACUCAAGUUCCUCCACAUCUUUGGAUCCAUGAUUCCCAAACCAAUGUUUCUGCGGAAGCAGAUCAGUGAAGUACCAAUCGGUACCUUUAGCCAGAUUGCAACGAUUCAGGAGUCUGCUACUGUCUAUGAUGCUCUUACCCUUUUUGUGGAGAGAAGAGUAUCAGCCCUGCCUGUUGUCAAUGAGCAAGGCAGAGUGGUGGCGCUGUACUCCAGGUUUGAUGUCAUUAACCUUGCUGCACAGAAAAAUUAUAACAACCUGAACAUGACGAUGAGGGAGGUCAUUGAGUCCAGAUUCUGCUGGGUGGAGGGAGUCCUCAAGUGUUACCCCCAUGAAACACUGGAGACCAUUAUUGACCGCAUUGCAAAGGCUGAGGUGCAUCGGCUGGUGUUGGUCGACAGUGAGGAUGUGGUGAGAGGAAUUGUUUCUCUCUCUGACCUCCUACAAGCCCUGGUUCUCUCACCUGCAGGUAUUGAUGCUCUGAACUCUCAAUGAUACCACCCAUCUCUCUGUAGUCCUGCUGCCAUCCAUCUACCUACUGUCCAACUUCGUCCUGCUUCUGUUGAAGACAGGUGUUUUUCACAUCCUGGCAGACCCGUCUUCCUGUACAAUCUCCUUUAGCUUAUCACAGACACAAACAGUCUGCUCCUUCAACCAGCAACCUUCUCUCAAAUCUUUCACUUGGAGCCUCUCCUCCUUUAAAAUCUGCAUCAGAAAAAUGAACCAGUGUUUUGGUUCCUACACCUCUAUCAGUUUACUCCUCAAACAUUCAAGCUUCAUUAGAAACCCACCUGAGCACCCCACCAAUCAGCCUCUUCAGUGAUCCCAACCAAUCACUCUCACACCCGCCUUCUUCAGCCUGUUUCUCCAUGCUGCACCUCCUUCUCUAAGAUUCACUUUCCAGAUGUUGUCAAGCAGCUGACCCUUGAAGACUGAAGAAAACCCACUGUCACAAACGGUGACAACCUGAAACUAAGUCGGAUUUUCAUCUGGUCUGUUCCAGCUGAGAAACAGAACAUGAGAAUUGGAGAACAUGCAGAAACCACCUGAUAAGAGCCAAGUCCUUUCUAUGAAUCCACAGAGGUGUCAAUGAACCUCGGCCAUAUUUAAAGGCCUCUGGGUGAGAGUGAUGAAAAUAUUCACAACAUCAGAAAGGUAUUUUGUAUUUUGGAAUCAAAACAUGAAAAAUGCAUUUCAUUCCAGUCAGUGGGAAAGUUACAUUUUAGUUGCAGUUAAGCAACAAAUUGUAAGUUUGCUGUAAAUGUCAUGUUGAAAAUAACAGAAAAACCUGCAGGUUUGAUUUUAUUCUCCUGCAGCUAGAACACAACAUGAAUGUAUUUGGAGUCUGUAAGUCAUGGGGACACUUUGUGAGAAAAUUUUGUACAGGUGUUUAGGACCUACAUAAAUUCUAGUUCAGGGUUGGAGUUAGCGUGAGAUGCUGGUUUUAGAUCUGCACCAGUGACAGUGGCACAGGAGUUAAGUGCUCGCCCCGUAAUCGGAAGGUUGAAGGUUGUUGUGUCCUUGGGCAAGAUACUUAACCCACCUUGCCUGCUGGUGGUGUUCACAGGGACCGGUGGCGCCUGUUUACGGCAGACUCGUCUCUCUCAGUGCGCCCCAGGGCAGGUGUGGCUACAUUGUAGCUCAUCACCUCCAGGGUGUGAAUGUGUGUGUGAAGACUGAUUGUGAGGACUCUAGAAGUCCAUUUACCAUUCAUUUUUGCCUUCGUGUUUGUUGGGAUUUAAAACAACCCAAAAUAUUUCUAAUAAAGUUUUGGUAUCAGACAUUAUAGAAGAAGCUGUGCUCCUCCUCCUGUGAGAGAAAACCGUAAGGUUUGUCUUCGGCCCUCAAACAUCAAUUCUGAUUGCUUUACAUCCAGACAGGACACAUGUACACAUUAGCUCAAUCCCAAUAAAGGAUUUAAAAUGUUAAUCUAUGAAA